UUUUGUUGUUUUUUACUACAGAAUGUAAAACCGGAAAAUGGGGACGUAACUGUGAAAAAUCAAUGUAACUUUCAAUGCAAAGAUCAAUCUUGUGAUAGAGUUACUGGACUUUGUGACUACACUUGUGACAGUCUUACAAAUCUCUCCUGUCCUGCUGAUUGUCCAAAAGGCUAUCACGGUUCCAACUGCACUCUAGACUGUUCCUCCACCUGUAAAGAUCUGUUAUGUAAUAGACUUGGCUACUGUAUUGCGUGUUUAUCAGGUUACAGAGGACGUAACUGUGAAAAGGUGCAACUAGGUCUAGCAUCAGAGACCAGCGGUCUAACAUUUUCAUCAGGUGUUGGUAUUGGAGUAGCUGUUGGUGCUCUGGUUAUCAUCUUGAUUGAUAUCGUAAUUGUUAUUAUAUGCAGAACCAGGCUAACCACAUUAAGAGCCAGAAGCAAUGACGAGUUAAAACAUGGAACUACAGAAUUAUGAUGGUGUGAAACAAAUAAAUGAAUACAACCACUCUUACGAACCUUCUAGAACUACUUUUGAAGAAACUGUCAAGACACAUAAAAAAACAGGAUCGAGAAGCCAACGAAACAGUACAGUUUGAGAACACUUCAAAUACAGUUUAUGAGACAAUAGGAUAGGUCUCAAAUUGUCAAGUUCAAACUUUACUUCAUUACUUGUAAACUUUAUUUUUAAAAUUAGUUUGUCAUUUUCCCUGUCGUGUUUAUGUUUCUAAUGGUAUCACUGCGUCUUGAGUCUACAUCAUUUUUUGUUAA